GGGGAAUAUUGCGCAAUGGGCGAAAGCCUGACGCAGCCACGCCGCGUGAGCGAUGAAGGUCUUCGGAUCGUAAAGCUCUGUGGGGGGAGAAGAAGAAAGCCGGUGAAGAGCCGGCCCUGACGGUAUCCCCUUAGCAAGCACCGGCUAACUCCGUGCCAGCAGCCGCGGUAAUACGGAGGGUGCAAACGUUGCUCGGAAUCAUUGGGCGUAAAGCGCGCGUAGGCGGCUGAACAAGUUGGAUGUGAAAGCCCUGGGCUCAACCUAGGAUGUGCAUUCAAAACUGUUCGGCUUGAGUCUCGGAGGGGGUCAGAGAAUUCUCGGUGUAGAGGUGAAAUUCGUAGAUAUCGGGAGGAACACCAGUGGCGAAGGCGCUGACCUGGACGAUGACUGACGCUGAGGCGCGAAAGCGUGGGGAGCAAAC
rnacentral:rRNA from 1 species